CCGGUGGAAGCAUGUGGUUUUAAUUCGAGUCAACGCGCAGAACCUUACCAACCCUUGACAUCCUAGGACCGGCCCAGAGAUGGGUCUUUCACUUCGGUGACCUAGUGACAGGUGCUGCAUGGCUGUCGUCAGCUCGUGUCGUGAGCUGUUCGGUUAAGUCCGGCAACGAGCGCAACCCACAUCCUUAGUUGCCAGCAGUUCGGCUGGGCACUCUAGGGAAACUGCCCGUGAUAAGCGGGAGGAAGGUGUGGAUGUCGUCAAGUCCUCAUGGCCCUUACGGGUUGGGCUACACACGUGCUACAAUGGCAGUGACAAUGGGUUAAUCCCAAAAAACUGUCUCAGUUCGGAUUGGGGUCUGCAACUCGACCCCAUGAAGUCGGAAUCGCUAGUAAUCGCGUAACAGCAUGACGCGGUGAAUACGUUCCCGGGCCUUGUACACACCGCCCGUCACACCAUGGGAGUUGGUUCUACCCGACGACGCUGCGCUAACCUUCGGGNGGCAGGCGGCCACGGUAGG
rnacentral:rRNA from 1 species